GCUGUAGUUAUGUCAACAUAACUGCUAACUACACCAGUGGAGACCCUCUGAGCCUUGGUGUAUACACCGUAGGAUAUGCGGCAAAAGAUUGUAAUGAGAAUGUUGGUUACUGUCAAUUUACUGUUGAAGUUAAAGAUUGUGAGCCUCCGGAUCUUGAAUGUCCAUCUAGCCAAAACGUAACAGGUGACGAGACCUGCUGGGCAAAUGUCACCUGGACAGCACCCACUGUUACAGACAACUCUGGAGAUUCUUUCACACCAGUAUGUGAUCAUAUAGGAAGCACAUUUUAUGAUGUCAGUACUGUUGUAACAUGUAAUGCCACUGACAAUUAUGAUAACACUGGCAAUUGUACAUUUACCAUUACUAUUUAUGAUGGUGAAGAUCCAAUCAUAAAUUGCCCAGCUGACAUAAAGGUUUGUGCUGAAACUGGUUCUAUAGCAGCAUCUGUCACUUGGGAACCCAUCAACGCAACUGACAACUGUUGUGACAAUGUAAAAAUAACGGCAGAUUACACAUCAGGAGAUGAAUUUGAAAUUGGUGAAAAUAUAGUAACAUACAUAGCCACUGACUGUAGUGACA